AACGAACGCUGGCGGCAGGCUUAACACAUGCAAUUCGAGCGCAUCCUACGGGGUGAGCGGCGGACGGGCGAGUAACGCCUGGGAACGUGCCCUCUUCUAUCGAAUAGCUUCGGGCAAGGGAGAGUAAUGCCGCAUACGCCCCCAAGGGUAACGCUUUAACGGAGGUGGAUCGGCCCGCGUUGGAUUAGGUAGUUGGUGCGGUAACGGGCUACUAAGCUGACCAUCCAUAGCUGGUUUGAAAGGAUGAUCAGCCACACUGGGACUGAGACACGGCCCAGACUCCUACGGGAUGGAGCAGUGGAGAAUAUUGCACAAUGGCGGCAACCCUGAUGCCGCCGUGCCGCGUAAUGGAUGGAGGGCUGAAGGUUGUAGAGUGCUUUCAGCUGGGAAGAUAAUGACGGUACCAGCAGAAGAAGCCCCGGCUAACUCCGUG
rnacentral:rRNA from 1 species